AUUCACCACAACAUUAUUCAAUGGAAUUUUUUGGUGCAUCUUUUCGUUGUUCUAUUUUUCUCAUUAUUUGCAUCUAUGGCACGUUGAUGAUGAAACAAGUGAAUGGCGAUGGUACAUGUGAUGAACGUUUUUCUUCUCCUAUUCCUUGUUCACAACAAUCCCCACCUUGUUCAACAUUUUGUAAACAACGUUAUGGACAGCAUGUAGUGAGAUCAAGGUGUGAUGACGAAGGCCAAGGACAAUUUACUUGUAUUUGCACCAUCAAUGUACCUUGUCAUCCUUCUACUUAGUUGUUACAAAUUUUUUAAUCUGUUCUAAAAAGAAUAAAAGAUUGAUAAAAAAAUUAUAUUUUGAUUUUAAAAAA